GUGUGGGCCCCGCUUUCCCCCAGCGCUGGAGACUCCGAGCCCGGCCGGUCCCACAUUCCACGCGAGCUGAAUUCCCGCCCGCAUCCCGCCCGGGCAGCAGGGAUUGCCGGCUCCGGGAGGCGCUCGGGCUCCGAGAAGCGGCUCAGCCCCGCGCCCCUCCCUCCUCAGUACCGCUGCCGGCGGACCAGGAUUCCCGCGGGUCCUGGCGGCUGCGAGCGCGAGGCGGCGCGGAUUCGCGGCUCGGUUCCGGCGCGACUGCUCACCGCGCCCGCCUCGCCUCCCGCGGCUGCCAGCGUGCACUGGGCGCUCCUCGGCGCGUCUGCCCGGCCCGUCUCGGCUUUCCUUCUCCUUCCUCUAGUCCCAGCGUCACAACUCCGCCGACCUCCUCUGCCCUGAGAGCGCGUCCGGUGCGGGCGGAGUCGGACGGACUCUGGCUUCACGCCUCGCGCGGGCACACCUUCUCCCGGGCACUGAGGCCCAGGACUGUGAGCUCUGGGGCUCCGGGACUGGAUCUGCUUCACCUCUAUCCCCCAGCACCCAGCUCAAUUCCCGGUCUAUAGUACUCACCAAUAAAGAAUGCCUGUUGAAUGAC
rnacentral:lncRNA from 1 species